CACGGGGGGAGCAAGCGUUGUUCGGAUUCAUUGGGCGUAAAGCGCACGUAGGCGGCUUUCUAAGUCGGGGGUGAAAUCCUGGAGCUCAACUCCAGAACUGCCUUCGAUACUGGAGAGCUUGAGUCCGGGAGAGGUGAGUGGAACUGCGAGUGUAGAGGUGAAAUUCGUAGAUAUUCGCAAGAACACCAGUGGCGAAGGCGGCUCACUGGCCCGGUACUGACGCUGAGGUGCGAAAGCGUGGGGAGCAAACAGG
rnacentral:rRNA from 1 species